GCGCUGGUGGUGCAGCGCAGCAUCGCUGCCCGGAAAGCAGAUGGUGCGGGUUCGAGUCCUGCCUCUUGCA
rnacentral:tRNA from 1 species